rnacentral:lncRNA from 1 species
GGAUAAAUCAAACUGAAAUGCAAAUCAUAGCUAAGGUCAGCUCAGCCUUCUCACAGUGACGCUCCAGUCAGCUCUCAUCACACACAAGCACCUUCCAUCACACGCUCAUCAACAACAAGCGAACACAAAGUGAGGAAAUCUAGGUUUAUUUAGGUUUUUGAGAAGAGCUCCGAGUCCCCCCGGUUCCAUCCGGAGGGUUCCUGGACCAGAGUCCACUCUCCCAUGACAGCUACAUCAACGAGCCGCGGCCCCAAAAACAUGCUCUCUUUGGGAGCUCAUGAACAGCACCACAAAUCUGCUUAAAGAGAUGAAUCGAGAGAUUUGGAUGUGUAAAAGAGACACCAGCAUUUAAGGAAUGUAUCAACUUUGCGGAUCAUAAGAUCUGUGAGAAGAGC